rnacentral:rRNA from 1 species
UACGUAGGGGGCAAGCGUUGUCCGGAGUUACUGGGCGUAAAGGGCUCGCAGGCGGUCCACCGCGUCAAGAGUGCCAGCUGUCGGCUUCACCGACAGAGUGCUGUUGAAACGGGUGGACUUGAGGACGAGAGAGGGACAUGGAACUCCGGGUGGAGUGGUGAAAUGCGUAGAGAUCCGGAAGAACACCAAAGGCGAAGGCAGUGUCCUGGCUCGUGUCUGACGCUGAGGAGCGAGAGCUAGGGGAGCGAACAGG